GGAGACAGAGAGAGGAGUGGCCAGACUACAGCCACACUGUGAACAGCUACAGAUGAAGUAUGGCUUAUUGGAUCCUAAACACCAGGGUAGACUAUUCAUCUUAAAGGGUGCCUGAUGAUUCCUUCAAGGUGUAUGUUCUGUGAAUGGUGGUGCAUCACACUGGUGAAGAACUGAGCCAAUAAGUAGAAGGAAGAAAUGAUCAACACUAAGGAAAUUUAGAGCCAAAGGAUUGACUAUGGAUUCAGGCAGGCCUGGGUUUGAAUCCUGUCCUCACCUCUCACUAGCCCACUAGUAUGGCAAUUUACAAACGUCCUCCCACCCCCCAACUUCUGAGUAUAUAUCCAAAAGAACUAAAAUCAGGACCCUGAAAACAUAUCUGCAUUCCCAUGUUCACUGCAGCAUUAUUCCCAAUAGUCAAGAUACAGAAACAACCUAAAUGUCCAUGGAUAAAGAAAAUGUGGAUAUACAUGCAAUGGAAUAUUAUUCAGUCUUUUAUUUUUUAAUUUAAUUUAAUUUUUUAAGACAGGGUCCUGUUAUGUUGCCCAGGUUGGUCUCAAACUCCUGGACUCAAGCAAUCCUCCCACUUCAGCCUCCCAAAGUGCUGGGAUUACAGGCAUGAGCAUCUAUGCUUGGCCUUAUUCAGCCAUUUAAAAGAUGGAAAUCAUGGGCAAAGACUUCAUGACUAAAACACCAAAAGCAAUGGCAAAAAAAACCUAAAACAGACAAAUGGGAUCUAAUUAAACUAAACAGCUUCUGCACAGCAAAAGAAACUAUCAUCAGAGUGAACAGGCAACCUACAGAAUGGGAGAAAAUUUUUGCAACCUACCCAUCUGACAAAGGGCUAAUAUCCAGAAUCUACAAAGAACUUAAACAAAUUUACAAGAAAAAAACAAACAACCCCAUCAAAAAGUGGGCAAAGGAUAUUAACAGACACUUCUCAAAAGAAGACGUUUAUUCAGCCAACAGACACAUGAAAAAAUGCUCAUCAUCACUGGUCAUCAGAGAAAUGCAAAUCAAAACCACGAUAAGAUACCAUCUCAUGCCAGUUAGAAUGGUGAUCAUUAAAAAGUCAGGAAACAACAGAUGCUGGAGAGAAUGUGGAGAAAUAAGAAUGCUUUUACACUGUUGGUAGGAGUAUAAAUUAGUGCAACCACUGUGGAAGACAGUGUGGCAAUUCCUCAAGGAGCUAGAACUAGAAAUACCAUUUGACCCAGCAAUCCCACUACUGGGUACAUACCCAAAGGAGUAUAAAUUAUUCCACUAUAAAGACACAUGCACACGAAUGUUUAUUGUGGCACUAUUCACAAUAGCAAAGACUUGGAACCAACCCAAAUGUCCAUCAAUGAUAGACUAGAUUAAGAAAAUGUGGCACAUAAACACCAUGGAAUACUAUGCAGCCAUAAAAAAGGAUGAGUUCAUGUCCUUUGCAGGGACAUGGAUGAAGCUGGAAACCAUCAUUCUCAGCAAACUGUCACAAGGACAGAAAACCAAACACUGCAUGUUCUCACUCACAGUGGGGAGCUGAACAAUGAGAACACACGGACACAGGGUGGGGAACAUCCCACACCGGGACCUGUCAGGGGGUGGGAGACUGGGGGAGGGAUAGCAUUAGGAGAAAUACCUAAUGUAAAUGUGGAGUUGAU
rnacentral:lncRNA from 1 species